rnacentral:sRNA from 1 species
GGGUCCCCUUCCUCCCUCACCGCUCCAUGUGCGUCCCUCACCUUCCCCGAUAGGGGAGGACCCGUCUUCGGUCAAGGGUAUACGAGUAGCUGCGCUCCCCUGCUAGAACCUCCAAACAAGCUCUCAAGGUCCGUUUUUCAAUCUUUAAUACAGAGGGAACAAGGACCUCAUCCUGAUUUCUAAGACCAGUAUCA